UAAAAAAAGGUAAGCUACUAAGAGCGAAUGGUGGAUGCCUUGACUGGUAAAGGCGAUGAAGGACGUACUAGACUGCGAUAAGCUACGGGGAGCUGUCAAGAAGCUUUGAUCCGUAGAUUUCCGAAUGGGGCAACCCAAUGUAUAGAGAUAUACAUUACCUAUAUAGGAGCGAACGAGGGGAAUUGAAACAUCUUAGUACCCUCAGGAAAAGAAAUCAAUAGAGAUUGCGUCAGUAGCGGCGAGCGAAAGCGCAAGAGGGCAAACCCAGUGCUUGCACUGGGGGUUGUAGGACUGCAAUGUGCAAGAGGUAAGUUUAGCAGAACAUUCUGGAAAGUAUAACCAUAGAGGGUGAUAGUCCCGUAUGCGAAAAACAAACCUUAGCUAGCAGUAUCCUGAGUAGGGCGGGACACGAGGAAUCCUGUCUGAAUCCGGGUCGACCACGAUCCAACCCUAAAUACUAAUACCAGAUCGAUAGUGCACAAGUACCGUGAGGGAAAGGUGAAAAGAACUGAGGUGAUCAGAGUGAAAUAGAACCUGAAACCAUUUGCUUACAAUCAUUCAGAGCCUUAUGUAGCAAUACAGGGUGAUGGACUGCCUUUUGCAUAAUGAGCCUGCGAGUUGUGGUGUCUGGCAAGGUUAAGCAAACGCGAAGCCGUAGCGAAAGCGAGUCUGAAUAGGGCGCUUAGUCAGAUGCUGCAGACCCGAAACGAAGUGAUCUAUCCAUGAGCAAGUUGAAGCUAGUGUAAGAACUAGUGGAGGACUGAACCCAUAGGCGUUGAAAAGCCCCGGGAUGACUUGUGGAUAGGGGUGAAAGGCCAAUCAAACUUCGUGAUAGCUGGUUCUCUCCGAAAUAUAUUUAGGUAUAGCGUUGUGUCGUAAUAUAAGGGGGUAGAGCACUGAAUGGGCUAGGGCAUACACCAAUGUACCAAACCCUAUCAAACUCCGAAUACCUUAUAUGUAAUCACAGCAGUCAGGCGGCGAGUGAUAAAAUCCGUCGUCAAGAGGGAAACAACCCAGACUACCAGCUAAGGUCCCUAAAUCUUACUUAAGUGGAAAACGAUGUGAAGUUACUUAAACAACCAGGAGGUUGGCUUAGAAGCAGCCAUCCUUUAAAGAAAGCGUAAUAGCUCACUGGUCUAGUGAUUUUGCGCGGAAAAUAUAACGGGGCUAAAGUAAGUACCGAAGCUGUAGACUUGCACACAACUUAGAUUAUUUAAGUUUAGAAUAUGAGAAACUAAGUUAUAUGUUUAGUUAUAUUUUUACUGAUUUUUAUAGAGUAAAGAUAGAAAUAAAACUUAGUAAAAUCAGUAAAAAUAUUCUUAGACUAAAGUUAAGUAGUUUAAGUUGUGUGCAAGUGGUAGGAGAGCGUUCUAUUUGCGUCGAAGGUAUACCGGUAAGGAGUGCUGGAGCGAAUAGAAGUGAGCAUGCAGGCAUGAGUAGCGAUAAUUAAUGUGAGAAUCAUUAACGCCGUAAACCCAAGGUUUCCUACGCGAUGCUCGUCAUCGUAGGGUUAGUCGGGUCCUAAGUCGAGUCCGAAAGGGGUAGACGAUGGCAAAUUGGUUAAUAUUCCAAUACCAACAUUAGUGUGCGAUGGAAGGACGCUUAGGGCUAAGGGGGCUAGCGGAUGGAAGUGCUAGUCUAAGGUCGUAGGAGGUUAUACAGGCAAAUCCGUAUAACAAUACUCCGAGAACUGAAAGGCUUUUUGAAGUCUUCGGAUGGAUAGAAGAACCCCUGAUGCCGUCGAGCCAAGAAAAGUUUCUAAGUUUAGCUAAUGUUGCCCGUACCGUAAACCGACACAGGUGGGUGGGAUGAGUAUUCUAAGGCGCGUGGAAGAACUCUCUUUAAGGAACUCUGCAAAAUAGCACCGUAUCUUCGGUAUAAGGUGUGGUUAGCUUUGUAUUAGGAUUUACUCCGAAAGCAAGGAAACUUACAACAAAGAGUCCCUCCCGACUGUUUACCAAAAACACAGCACUCUGCUAACUCGUAAGAGGAUGUAUAGGGUGUGACGCCUGCCCGGUGCUCGAAGGUUAAUUGAUGGGGUUAGCAUUAGCGAAGCUCUUGAUCGAAGCCCGAGUAAACGGCGGCCGUAACUAUAACGGUCCUAAGGUAGCGAAAUUCCUUGUCGGUUAAAUACCGACCUGCAUGAAUGGCGUAACGAGAUGGGAGCUGUCUCAAAGAGGGAUCCAGUGAAAUUGUAGUGGAGGUGAAAAUUCCUCCUACCCGCGGCAAGACGGAAAGACCCCGUGGACCUUUACUACAGCUUGACACUGCUACUUGGAUAAGAAUGUGCAGGAUAGGUGGGAGGCUUUGAGUAUAUGACGCCAGUUGUAUAUGAGCCAUUGUUGAGAUACCACUCUUUCUUAUUUGGGUAGCUAACCAGCUUGAGUUAUCCUCAAGUGGGACAAUGUCUGGUGGGUAGUUUGACUGGGGCGGUCGCCUCCCAAAUAAUAACGGAGGCUUACAAAGGUUGGCUCAGAACGGUUGGAAAUCGUUCGUAGAGUAUAAAGGUAUAAGCCAGCUUAACUGCAAGACAUACAAGUCAAGCAGAGACGAAAGUCGGUCUUAGUGAUCCGGUGGUUCUGUGUGGAAGGGCCAUCGCUCAAAGGAUAAAAGGUACCCCGGGGAUAACAGGCUGAUCUCCCCCAAGAGCUCACAUCGACGGGGAGGUUUGGCACCUCGAUGUCGGCUCAUCGCAUCCUGGGGCUGGAGCAGGUCCCAAGGGUAUGGCUGUUCGCCAUUUAAAGCGGUACGCGAGCUGGGUUCAGAACGUCGUGAGACAGUUCGGUCCCUAUCUGCCGUGGGCGUAAGAAGAUUGAAGAGAUUUGACCCUAGUACGAGAGGACCGGGUUGAACAAACCACUGGUGUAGCUGUUGUUCUGCCAAGAGCAUCGCAGCGUAGCUAAGUUUGGAAAGGAUAAACGCUGAAAGCAUCUAAGCGUGAAGCCAACUCUAAGAUGAAUCUUCUCUAAGCUCUCUAGAAGACUACUAGUUUGAUAGGCUGGGUGUGUAAUGGAUGAAAGUCCUUUAGCUGACCAGUACUAAUAGAGCGUUUGGCUUAUCUUUAAUAAAGCAU
rnacentral:rRNA from 1 species